rnacentral:rRNA from 1 species
AAACCUGCGCCGAAAAUGUAACGGGGCUAAAACACGACACCGAAGCUACGGAUUCCUUACAAAGUAAGGAGUGGUAGAGGAGCAUCCUGCAAGGACGAAGCCAAAGUGAGAGCGAUGGUGGACGAAACAGGAGAGAGAAUGCCGGAAUGAGUAGCGAGAUACAUGUGAGAAACAUGUAGGCCGAAUAUCUAAGGAUUCCUGGGUAAAGCUAAUCUUCCCAGGGUUAGUCGGGGCCUAAGGCGAGGACGAAAGUCGUAGUCGAUGGAUAACAGGUUGAUAUUCCUGUACUACACAUAAUCAGAACUGUGGGGACGCAGGAGGAUAGGGAAACCGGGGAAUGGAAAGACCCGGUCAAGCGUAAAGCUGUGGGAGAUAGGCAAAUCCGUCUCCUGUAAGUGAAACGUGAUGAGGACUGAAAAAAAGUAAGGAAGUUUCCGAAUCCACACUGCCGAGAAAAGCCGCUAUUGCGUUAUGUGUACCCGUACCGUAAACCGACACAGGUAGAUGAGGAGAAAAUCCACAGGCCGACGGGAGAAGUGUUGUUAAGGAACUCGGCAAAAUGACCCCGUAACUUCGGGAUAAGGGGAGCCUCGCAAGAGGCCGCAGAAAAGAGGCACAAGCAACUGUUUAGCAAAAACAUAGGUCUAUGCGAAACCGUAAGGUGAAGUAUAUGGGCUGACGCCUGCCCGGUGCUGGAAGGUUAAAAGGAGAGGUUCGGAGAAACCAAAGCUUUGAAUUCAAGCCCCAGUAAACGGCGGCCGUAACUAUAACGGUCCUAAGGUAGCGAAAUUCCUUGUCAGGUAAGUUCUGACCCGCACGAAAGGCGUAAUGAUUUGUGCACUGUCUCGACAACACGCCCGGUGAAAUUGAAGAACCAGUGAAGAUACUGGUUACCCGCAACAGGACGGAAAGACCCCAUGGAGCUUUACUGCAGCCUGAUACUGGGAUUCGAUGAUAUAUGUACAGGAUAGGUGGGAGGCUAAGAAGCGAGAACGCUAGUUUUCGUGGAGCCGCCGGUGGGAUACCACUCUUAUGUCAUUGAAUUUCUAACCUGCAUCCGUAAUCCGGGUGAGGGACAAUGUCAGGCGGGCAGUUUGACUGGGGCGGUCGCCUCCUAAAAGGUAACGGAGGCGCUCGAAGGUCACCUCAGAAUGAUUGGAAACCAUUCAAAGAGUGUAAAGGCAAAAGGUGGCUUGACUGCGAGAGCGACGGCUCGAGCAGGUACGAAAGUAGGACUUAGUGAUCCGGUGGUAAUAAGUGGGAAUGCCAUCGCUCAACGGAUAAAAGCUACCCUG